rnacentral:pre_miRNA from 1 species
UGGAAGACUAGUGAUUUUGUUGUUUUUAGAUAACUAAAUCGACAACAAAUCACAGUCUGCCAU